GUCAGCAAAGUUGUUUAUAUAUUCACUUACGCGUUUAAAGAUUUGUAACAAAUGCUUUUCUGUUACAAGAUGUAUGGUUUUAGCUCGAUUGAUUCGUUUCCAAAAAUUUUGACGCUUUUUGUUUUUCAUUUCAGCAACAACAAAAAAACGAGUAAAGAAUGGAACGAUAAUAGAUAUGCAUGCAGAUCCUGUACCAACUCAUACACUAACAACAGCAGUUAUGAUAUCAAAUAGUUGCAUGGCAACGACGUGUAAUUCAUUAGUGUUUCCGUUACUGAAAUAGACCCGGGCGGCUUGCUCAGUAGUAUAGGAUUUGAUUACACAUCCGAGUAUCGCAGGUUCGACUCCUGGCCAUGACAAAUAACGUGCAGUGGUUGGUCAUGGCAUUAAUUCUACAUCACUUCUAUCCAUGAUAUAAAACUAG